UACGAGGGGAGCAAGCGUUGUUCGGAUUUACUGGGCGUAAAGGGCGCGUAGGCGGUCGUGACAAGUCACUUGUGAAAUCUCCGGGCUUAACUCGGAACGGUCAAGUGAUACUGUCGGACUAGAGUACAGAAGGGGGCAACUGGAAUUCUCGGUGUAGCGGUGAAAAUGCGUAGAUAUCGAGAGGGAACACCUGCGGCGAAGGCGGGUUGCUGGGCUGAUACUGACGCUGAUGCGCGAAAGCCAGGGGGAGCGAACGGG
rnacentral:rRNA from 1 species